GUAAUGGUGUCUCUAGACACCACACUUUAUAUUCAAAAUUUAUUUGU
rfam:Picea glauca, whole genome shotgun sequence.